GAUGAACGCUGGCGGCGUGCCUAAUACAUGCAAGUCGAGCGAACAGACGAGGAGCUUGCUCCUCUGACGUUAGCGGCGGACGGGUGAGUAACACGUGGAUAACCUACCUAUAAGACUGGGAUAACUUCGGGAAACCGUAGCUAAUACCGGAUAAUAUAUUGAACCGCAUGGUUCAAAAGUGAAAGACGGUUUUGCUGUCACUUAUAGAUGGAUCCGCGCCGCAUUAGCUAGUUGGUAAGGUAACGGCUUACCAAGGCAACGAUGCGUAGCCGACCUGAGAGGGUGAUCGGCCACACUGGAACUGAGACACGGUCCAGACUCCUACGGGAGGCAGCAGUAGGGAAUCUUCCGCAAUGGGCGAAAGCCUGACGGAGCAACGCCGCGUGAGUGAUGAAGGUCUUCGGAUCGUAAAACUCUGUUAUUAGGGAAGAACAAAUGUGUAAGUAACUAUGCACGUCUUGACGGUACCUAAUCAGAAAGCCACGGCUAACUACGUG
rnacentral:rRNA from 1 species